GACGAACGCUGGCGGCGUGCCUAAUACAUGCAAGUCGAACGCUUUUUCUUUCACCGGAGCUUGCUCCAUCGAAAGAAAAAGAGUGGCGAACGGGUGAGUAACACGUGGGUAACCUGCCCAUCAGAAGGGGAUAACACUUGGAAACAGGUGCUAAUACCGUAUAACACUAUUUUCCGCAUGGAAGAAAGUUGAAAGGCGCUUUUGCGUCACUGAUGGAUGGACCCGCGGUGCAUUAGCUAGUUGGUGAGGUAACGGCUCACCAAGGCAACGAUGCAUAGCCGACCUGAGAGGGUGAUCGGCCACACUGGGACUGAGACACGGCCCAGACUCCUACGGGAGGCAGCAGUAGGGAAUCUUCGGCAAUGGACGAAAGUCUGACCGAGCAACGCCGCGUGAGUGAAGAAGGUUUUCGGAUCGUAAAACUCUGUUGUUAGAGAAGAACAAGGAUGAGAGUAAAAUGUUCAUCCCUUGACGGUAUCUAACCAGAAAGCCACGGCUAACUACGUG
rnacentral:rRNA from 1 species